rnacentral:ncRNA from 1 species
UUACGAGAAUAGCAAACUUGUCGAAAGAGAAGGACGCAAAGCCACGGACCUAAGGGAAAGAACUACGGCAGCCGGGUUACCGAA